GCCAGGAAGGGAACACAGCAGUGCCUGGAAUAAACUCUGAGUCUGAGCUGGAUUCAAGCCCUGGGGAAAUGGGCUGAAGCCCACACAGGCUUGAGCCACCAACUAUGCAGGAAGUAGUCAUCCUGCUGCUGCUCCUGGAGGCCAUGUCAGGAGAGGCUCUGCAUCUCAUCCACUUACCUGCUGCCAGCAACGUGGCAGAGAAUUCUCCCCCUGGGACUUUGGUGCACAAGUUUUCUGUGAAUUUAUCGGUGUCCUUGUCACCUGUGGUCCCAGGAUUUCCCCUGAUAAUCAACUCAAGUCCCCUCAUUGAAGCCUUCAGGGUGAACAGGCUGUCAGGCACUAACUUUGAGGUUGUCACCUUUGGGAAGCAACAACUGGAUUUUGAAACAGGACCAAACGUAUUUGAUUUGCAGAUUUAUGUUAAGGAUGAGGUCGGGGUGACCGACCUGCAGGUCCUGACUGUUCAGGUGACAGACGUGAACGAGCCACCCGAGUUUCAAGGCAACUUGGCGGAUGGUUUAGACCUCUUCAUAGCAGAAAGAGCGAACCCCGGAUUCAUUUACCAGGUGGAGGCCUUCGAUCCAGAGGACACGAGACGCCGAGCUCCCCUCAGUUAUUUCCUGACUUCUCCCUCAAGGAGCUUCAGCGUGUCUGCUAAUGGCACCCUCUUCUCCACAACAGAAUUGGACUUUGAAGCAGGACACAGGAGUUUCCACCUCGUUGUGGAAGUGAGGGACAGCGGAGGCCUCAAAGCCUCCACAGAGCUCCGGGUGACCAUUGUGAAUGUCAACGAUGAGAUGCCUUUCUUCACCAGCCCGACACGAGUGUACUCCAUCCCGGAGGAGCUGCAUGCUGGAACCAUCGUGGCCAAUGUCACAGCUGAGGACCCCGAUGAUGAUGGAAGCUUUCCCGGCCACCUCCUGUACACCAUCACGACAGUCAGCAAGUACUUGGUGAUAAAUCAGUUGACUGGUACGAUCCAAGUAGCCCAGAGGAUGGACCGAGAUGCAGGUGAAUUAAGACAGAAUCCCACCAUUUCUCUGGAAGUUCUGGUGAGGGACAGACCCUCCGGGGGCCAGGAAAACCGCAUCCAGAUAACGUUCAUUGUGGAAGAUGUCAAUGACAACCCAGCUACCUGCAGCAAGUUCACCUUCAGCAUUAUGGUGCCAGAAAGAGUGGCCAACGGGACAUUGCUCCUGGACCUGAACAAGUUCUGCUUUGAUAGUGACAGUGAAGCCCCAAACAACACAUUCAACUUCACUGCGCCAUCUGGAGUGGGGAGCAGCCGCAGAUUUUUACAGGAUCCAGCUGACUCUGGGAAAAUUGUGUUGAUUGGUGAUCUAGACUAUGAGAAUCCAAGCAAUCUGGCUGCUGGCAAUCAGUACACUGUGAUGAUCCAGGUGCAGGAUGUUGCCCCUCCUUAUUACAAAAAAAACAUCCACAUAUCUAUCUUAACAAGCCCAGAAAAUGAGUUUCCUCUUGUCUUUGAGAGGCCAUCCUAUGUGUUCGAGGUGUCAGAGACAAGACCAGCUAGAACCCGGGUUGGACAAGUUCGAGCAACAGAUGAGGACUUCCCCCAGAGCAGUAUCACAUACUCCAUCUCCAGUGGAGGGGCUAGCCCCCAGCACCCCAAUAUAUUUUGGAUUAAUCCCAAGACGGGAGAACUCCAGCUAGUAACCAAGACAGACCAUGAAACCACGCCCGUCUACAUUCUCAGAAUCCAGGCCUCCAAUGGAGAGGACACGAGCUCAGUCACUGUUACCGUGAACAUCCUUGGAGAAAAUGAUGAAAAGCCCAUGUGCACCCCCAACUCUUAUUUCCUGGCCAUCCCGGUGGAUCUGCAAGUUGGCACAAAUAUUCAGAAUUUCAAGCUCACGUGCACUGACCUGGAUUCCAGCCCCAGAUCUUUUCGUUACACCAUUGGCCCAGGCAAUGUCAACAGUCACUUCACCCUCUCUCCCAGUGCUGGCUCCAAUGUUACACACCUGCUGCUUGCAUCCCGCUUUGACUACGCUGGUGGCCUCGACAAGAUCUGGGACUAUAAACUACUCGUCUACAUAACUGAUGACAACUUGCUGUCCAGCAGGACGAAAGCUAGGGCUCUUGUUGAAACAGGAACAGUGACGCUGAGUGUUAAGGUCAUUCCGCACCCAACUACCAUCAUCACCACAACUCCCAGGCCCAGGGUCACCUACCAGAUCCUCAGGGAGAAUGUGUAUUCUCCAUCCGCGUGGUAUGUGCCUUUUGUCAUCACUCUGGGCUCCAUAUUGCUCCUGGGCUUUCUGGUGUCUCUGAUCAUCCUGAUAGCCAAAGUCAUCUACAGACACUGCCCCUGCAAGACUGGGGAGGACAAGAAGCCUCUGGCAAAGAAAGGAGCUACCGAUGUGAAGCGUUCAAAGAGCGAGGUUGUGGUGAAAACUAUCCAGAUGGACACUGUCUUUGACGGAGAAGCUGUGGACCCAGUUACUGGGGGAAUAUAUGAAUUCAACUCAAAAACUGGAGCCAGAAAGUGGAAAGAUCCAUCAGCCCAGAAGCCAGCAAGGACAGAGCCCAGCGCCCAGGGAACUGUGCCCGCCCCACGAAAAGUUGCUGCUGGAGAAGAGUCAGGGCUGCGUGGCAGCACCAACCAGGAAGGAGAUGGGCCGAGCAGCAGAGAGCGUGCCAGAGGUGCGGCCCCGGGUUCCAGGAGCGAGGAUGGCAAGCCGCGCACUCUGAAGGACAGAAACCCAGCCCUGGAGGACAGGACACCCCCCAAACUGCACGCAGGACAGUGAAUGAUGGUGCCAGGCCCCGCUCCAUGGGCAGGGAUGGGCCUGACUGCAGGGGCUGCCUCCCCUAAAUCUCACAGGUGCAGAAAUGUGGGCUGAAGGCAUUCGGACAUCCAGGGGGAAUGGGAUGUUUCAGAAAAACAUUUUCGAAACAGAAAGGGGUUUGAUGACAUCAUUGCCUUUUUCUUUUUUUUUUUUGUUUGUUUGUUUUGUUUUUUGGUACCGGGGAUCGAACUCAGGACCUUGUGCUUUCGAGGCAGGCAGCGGAACCACUGAACUAAAUCCUGGGCCCCAUCAUUGCCUUUUUCUGUGCUGGCACAGGAGAAUGUGUCUCGGGGCUCAGAACUACCUGUGCUUCGGAUCCACCGGGACUGCUAAUUUUUGUUACAGAAUGGCUCUGUUUCUUCUUCGCAUGGGCCACAGGAAGCUGUCUUCAGCUUACCCUAGGAAGCACACAGGGCCUCCUGAUCCUCGCACCUGGUUUCAUCCAGGGUUUCUGUUCCUGUUUGACCACCUCCAGCUUCACUUACAAAUACCCUUUUGAGUCACCUCCAGGCUUUCUUAAAAGCAGAGCAUGAAAAAAUGGAUGAGUAACGGAUAGGGUGCUCAUCUGGGAAAAGAAGUCACCGCAGAUACCCUCUUUUAUUCUUUUCCUAUUGAGGUGUAACUUACAUGGACUGAAAUGCACAGAGCUAAGGUAUUUCACCAGACCCUAUGUAGACGUCUCCCUGAGGGAUUGGGCCUUGCUGCUGAGGACGGGAAAUUCGAGGCCAGGUCUGAGGACGAGUUUCCUGUGUCCUGGAGCAAGCAGAGCCUGCGCCUCCUGGGGCCGUGUGCAACAAAAGCGUGCGGAGCUCGUGGACGGAAAAGGCCAGUGCUGCUUCUGCUCCUCAGAGCCCUCUUCCGCCUCUGUGGCUCCAUUGUUUGCCUUUUUAUUUAGUGUGAUUUGUGCUGGCUGAGAAAAUUAAGCAACAAAAUGAGUAAACAUUGAGAACGGUCGCCACUGCAACGUGGCGUGUCUCAUUU